UACGUAGGUGGCAAGCGUUAUCCGGAAUUAUUGGGCGUAAAGAGCGCGCAGGUGGUUGAUUAAGUCUGAUGUGUAAAGCCCACGGCUUAAACCGUGGAGGGUCAAUUGGAAACUGGUCGACUUGAGUGCAGAAGAGGGAAGUGGAAUUCCAUGUGUAGCGGUGAAAUGCGUAGAGAUAUGGAGGAACACCAGUGGCGAAGGCGGCUUCCUGGUCUGUAACUGACACUGAGGCGCGAAAAGCGUGGGGAGCAAACAGGAUUAGAUA
rnacentral:rRNA from 1 species